GCGAACGGGUGAGUAACACGUGAGUAACCUGCCCUUAACUCUGGGAUAAGCCUGGGAAACUGGGUCUAAUACCGGAUAGGAGCGCCUACCGCAUGGUGGGUGUUGGAAAGAUUUAUCGGUUUUGGAUGGACUCGCGGCCUAUCAGCUUGUUGGUGAGGUAAUGGCUCACCAAGGCGACGACGGGUAGCCGGCCUGAGAGGGUGACCGGCCACACUGGGACUGAGACACGGCCCAGACUCCUACGGGAGGCAGCAGUGGGGAAUAUUGCACAAUGGGCGCAAGCCUGAUGCAGCGACGCCGCGUGAGGGAUGACGGCCUUCGGGUUGUAAACCUCUUUCAGUAGGGAAGAAGCGAAAGUGACGGUACCUGCAGAAGAAGCACCGGCUAACUACGUGCCAGCAGCCGCGGUAAUACGUAGGGUGCGAGCGUUAUCCGGAAUUAUUGGGCGUAAAGAGCUCGUAGGCGGUUUGUCGCGUCUGUCGUGAAAGUCCGGGGCUUAACCCCGGAUCUGCGGUGGGUACGGGCAGACUAGAGUGCAGUAGGGGAGACUGGAAUUCCUGGUGUAGCGGUGGAAUGCGCAGAUAUCAGGAGGAACACCGAUGGCGAAGGCAGGUCUCUGGGCUGUAACUGACGCUGAGGAGCGAAAGCAUGGGGAGCGAACAGGAUUAGAUACCCUGGUAGUCCAUGCCGUAAACGUUGGGCACUAGGUGUGGGGACCAUUCCACGGUUUCCGCGCCGCAGCUAACGCAUUAAGUGCCCCGCCUGGGGAGUACGGCCGCAAGGCUAAAACUCAAAGGAAUUGACGGGGGCCCGCACAAGCGGCGGAGCAUGCGGAUUAAUUCGAUGCAACGCGAAGAACCUUACCAAGGCUUGACAUGUUCUCGAUCGCCGUAGAGAUACGGUUUCCCCUUUGGGGCGGGUUCACAGGUGGUGCAUGGUUGUCGUCAGCUCGUGUCGUGAGAUGUUGGGUUAAGUCCCGCAACGAGCGCAACCCUCGUUCCAUGUUGCCAGCACGUAAUGGUGGGGACUCAUGGGAGACUGCCGGGGUCAACUCGGAGGAAGGUGAGGACGACGUCAAAUCAUCAUGCCCCUUAUGUCUUGGGCUUCACGCAUGCUACAAUGGCCGGUACAAUGGGUUGCGAUACUGUGAGGUGGAGCUAAUCCCAAAAAGCCGGUCUCAGUUCGGAUUGGGGUCUGCAACUCGACCCCAUGAAGUCGGAGUCGCUAGUAAUCGCAGAUCAGCAACGCUGCGGUGAAUACGUUCCCGGGCCUUGUACACACCGCCCGUCAAGUCACGAAAGU
rnacentral:rRNA from 1 species